rnacentral:rRNA from 1 species
AUGGAUGGCAGCCGUCACCGGAAACAAGGACAACCCACGCGGAGCCAGAAGGAUUCCUCCACUCGACCACAACAGCGACUCAAACAAGGUACACUUGCUCUGCUUUCCACUGCGCCUUCGUCGUAUUCAUUUCUGUUAACCCUGUCGACUGGUCGACUGAUCCUUGUCUGGGCAUCUGCUAGGCCCUCACUGAACUGUACUCGAUGCCCAAUGGGGCACAAGCUUCGACUGAGGAGGGCGAGGCGAGCGGGGGCGAGAGCCAGGAAGAGGAGGAAUGGGACUCGGAUGUUGCAGAGGAUGAUGACGACGAUGAUGAUGAUGACGGUGAUGAAGACGACGUCGAGGACGAAGAAGAAGAGGAGGAGGAGGUCGUACCACCGCGCUCAGAAAGGCGGUCAAAGCUUGUCCACGAUCCUUCGACCGAACGUGGUAAGGGGGUUGCGACCGCCACUCAGUCGACCAAGCGCCCUCGGACCACCUCUCCGGUGCCGACUGAAAAGGCGCCGAAGCAGCCCAGGGCGGCCUCGUCGAAGCCGAUCAAGCUCUUGCCGAAGAUGA